GAACGCUGGCGGCAUGCCUUACACAUGCAAGUCGAACGGCAGCACGGGGGCAACCCUGGUGGCGAGUGGCGAACGGGUGAGUAACACAUCGGAACGUACCCUAUCGUGGGGGAUAACCAGUCGAAAGAUUGGCUAAUACCGCAUGAUCUGGAGACAGCAAAGCAGGGGACCGGAGACGGCCUUGCGCGAUUGGAGCGGCCGAUGUCCGAUUAGCUAGUUGGUGGGGUAAAGGCUCACCAAGGCUUCGAUCGGUAGCUGGUCUGAGAGGAUGAUCAGCCACACUGGGACUGAGACACGGCCCAGACUCCUACGGGAGGCAGCAGUGGGGAAUUUUGGACAAUGGGGGCAACCCUGAUCCAGCCAUGCCGCGUGAGUGAAGAAGGCCUUCGGGUUGUAAAGCUCUUUCGGUGGGAACGAAACGGUUACAGCUAAUACCUGUGACUACUGACGGUACUCAUAGAAGAAGCACCGGCUAACUACGUGCCAGCAGCCGCGGUAAUACGUAGGGUGCGAGCGUUGAUCGGAAUUACUGGGCGUAAAGCGUGCGCAGGCGGUCUCGUAAGCUGGGUGUGAAAGCCCCGGGCUUAACCUGGG
rnacentral:rRNA from 1 species